rnacentral:rRNA from 1 species
AUUGAACGCUGGCGGCAGGCCUAACACAUGCAAGUCGAGCGGAUGAAGAGAGCUUGCUCUCUGAUUCAGCGGCGGACGGGUGAGUAAUGCCUAGGAAUCUGCCUGAUAGUGGGGGACAACGUUUCGAAAGGAACGCUAAUACCGCAUACGUCCUACGGGAGAAAGCAGGGGACCUUCGGGCCUUGCGCUAUCAGAUGAGCCUAGGUCGGAUUAGCUAGUAGGUGAGGUAAUGGCUCACCUAGGCGACGAUCCGUAACUGGUCUGAGAGGAUGAUCAGUCACACUGGAACUGAGACACGGUCCAGACUCCUACGGGAGGCAGCAGUGGGGAAUAUUGGACAAUGGGCGAAAGCCUGAUCCAGCCAUGCCGCGUGUGUGAAGAAGGUCUUCGGAUUGUAAAGCACUUUAAGUUGGGAGGAAGGGCAGUAAGUUAAUACCUUGCUGUUUUGACGUUACGACAGAAUAAGCACCGGCUAACUUCGUGCCAGCAGCC